AUAGUCUCGUGCUCCUAUUGGAUGACGUAGUCUUCCAUAAUUGUUUUGGUAUCGUAGCAACGUGAUCGUGAUUUUUCGUUUAAAUUGCAGUAACACGAGGUUGUAUCAUCACAUUACGUUCUGUGGACUCUUGUAUAUUUGUUCCUGCAAAGAAAUACAAUUUCCGUUGGUCAGUUUACUUAAAGGAAACAUGAGGAUGGAUCAUACAGGAAGAGAAGAAUCCAGUUUGAGAGUGAAAUUGAAAUACUCGUGCACAUUUCCCGGGUGCAGGAGU